CACCUGUAUAAUGAGAGGAAUAUUUUCAUGUCUUAGUUAAAUAGGCGCCCACCUGUAUAAUGAGAGGAAUAUUUUCAUGUCUUAGUUAAAUAGGCGCCCACCUGUAUAAUGAGAGGAAUAUUUUAUGUCUUAGUUAAAUAGGCGCCCACCUGUAUAAUGAGAGGAAUAUUUUUAUGUCUUAGUUAAAUAGGCGCCCACCGUAUAAUGAGAGGAAUAUUUUAUAUCGUAGUUAAAUAGGCGCCCACCUGUAUAAUAAGAGGAAUAUUUCAUGUCUUAGACAAAUAGGUGCCCACCUGUAUAAUGAGAGGAAUAUUUUUAUGCUUUAGUUAACUAGGUCGCCCACAUGUAUAACGAGAGGAAUACUUUUAUGUCUUUAUAUUUCUUGUCUCAGGCGCCCACCUAUAUA
rnacentral:lncRNA from 1 species